rnacentral:rRNA from 1 species
AUUGAACGCUGGCGGAAUGCCUUACACAUGCAAGUCGAACGGCAGCACGGACUUCGGUCUGGUGGCGAGUGGCGAACGGGUGAGUAAUGUAUCGGAACGUGCCCAGCCGUGGGGGAUAACGCAGUGAAAAUUACGCUAAUACCGCAUACGACCUAUGGAUGAAAGCGGGGGAUCGCAAGACCCUGCGCGAUCGGAACGGCCGAUAUCAGAUUAGGUAGUUGGUGGGGUAAAGGCCCACCAAGCCAACGAUCUGUAGCUGGUCUGAGAGGACGACCAGCCACACUGGAACUGAGACACGGUCCAGACUCCUACGGGAGGCAGCAGUGGGGAAUUUUGGACAAUGGGCGAAAGCCUGAUCCAGCCAUUCCGCGUGCAGGAUGAAGGCCCUCGGGUUGUAAACUGCUUUUGUACAGAACGAAAAGGUUUCUACUAAUACUAGGAGCUCAUGACGGUACUGUAAGAAUAAGCACCGGCUAACUACGUGCCAGCCGCCGCGGUAA